rnacentral:rRNA from 1 species
CCUACGGGGGGCAGCAGUGGGGAAUAUUGCACAAUGGGGGAAACCCUGAUGCAGCGACGCCGCGUGAGUGAAGAAGUAUUUCGGUAUGUAAAGCUCUAUCAGCAGGGAAGAUAAUGACGGUACCUGACUAAGAAGCUCCGGCUAAAUACGUGCCAGCAGCCGCGGUAAUACGUAUGGAGCAAGCGUUAUCCGGAUUUAUUGGGUUUAAAGGGUGCGUAGGCGGAAUGCCAAGUCAGCGGUAAAAUCGCGGGGCUCAACCUCGCUCCGCCGUUGAAACUGGCGUUCUUGAGUGGGCGAGAAGUAUG